GACUUUAAAAUUGUCACAUGAGGAAUGUUGACCUGAGCUCGUCUAGCUUGUGAAUAACGAUAUUUUCCCCUUUAUUUUCAAUGAUUUCAGUGAUUUAUUGUCUUCCUGAAUUAAUUGAUUAAACUAAAUAAACGUGUAGCAAAUGUUGAAAGGGCAUAUCGACGAAAGUAAUCCAUAAAAAAAAACGCCGAAUGUCUGUCCAUAAUAAUAGAUCCAUGGUAAUGCACUGGGGCGAAUAAACGAGUGCACAAUAGGCGGGAAAAUUUGAAUAGCUGACGGGCAGGCGAUAGUGAAUGUACGGGUUUAUAAAGGAAUGCAAGCCGUGAAUACGAGGUACACCACGGCAUCAACACCACCAACAACGUUGAGAAAAGCUGCAACGAUUGCUAAAUUUAAACUGCUGGAAGGUUUUUUUCCCCACAAGAUAUCCACAGAUUUUCUCUCCUUAUAUUACAGCGUAUGAGAGGAAAGGAGGGAAAUGCAGGAAGUGAUUUCAAACAUUAUUCUGGCGAUAACCAGGGUAGUCCGGUCCACAGGUUCUGCCACUUAAUACUGCACCUGGAACUAAAAUGGACCAGUGAUUUAAAACUAGAUCAUGAAUGAUAUACCUGGUUUUACUGGACAAAUAGACCUAGGAUUAAUAGGAUUCAGCAGAAAAUGAGGUAGGAAAUCCACAAAGGUACCCUAGCGGCCACCAAGAAACAUCGAUACGUCAGCACAAGAAUUAACUUUAUGUCGACCAAGUCCCCCAAGUCUUCCACCCCAGAUCAGGGCCCAUGCAGAUUACGAUUGAUUGUUGCCCAAUGCAUGCUGAAUCCCCAUUGGAAUGUGAAUAGGGCUACGCUAGAGUAUAUACAGUAUAUACAUCGCCACCCAUGUGGCCUGGUCAACACGGAUUGGAGCAGGUUUUUAUCAGACGAUGAUGGCGGGUCAGGUGGAUAGGAGAAUGUUGCUUGGAAGGCAUCCUCGUGAUAGGUCUGACGUCCGUCGCGGUUCACCGGCCAAUUCUGUUUCCAAAUUGAGAGAGCCUACAGCGUGCAGGAUCACCGUAGGAAGGUUUAAGGUGUGGCAGUGUACUUCGGUCGACGAUGCAGAUACGAUGGCCUUUAUGACUGGAAAGUUCACCCGAUGCAGAGCAAGAAUUAACCUGGCGUCGACCAAGACUUCAAGACUUGCUGGUGGUCAACGAUAUGUGACCACCUCAUGCAUCACGGGCCAAAAACUUGAAGUGGAACAGGCAUACGUUCGAGUAUGUCACCAUCCAUGUGGCCAGGUCAUUACGGAUUGGAGCAGGUUUUCAUCAGGAUAAUUAUGAUGGCGGGUCAGGUGGAUAGGAGAAUGUUGCUUGGAAGGCAUCCGCAUGGGGUUAUCUUCCGGUGAGAUGAGGUCUGAUGUCCCUGCUGACCAUCAAAUUCGAUUUGCAUGCGAGGACCCAAUUUUACUAUGAGAAGGAUCGAGGAGGAUGUGGAUAAUGGACUUCGGUCGACGGCCAUGCCGAUCCCCAAGGUUCACCCGAUGCAGUCUCAUCAUGGUGAGGGGUGAUCAAAGUUCCAAUUGGUCUUCUGUAUGUCUUCCGCUGGCCCUAGCCCAGGGACUUUACGUUAUCACCAAUAUGACCAACAUCAUCUUGAAAUAGGUCGACCAAGAUUUGCUCACCUUCCUCGCAUACGACAACGUUAAUCACUCCUUCCCAUUAUCUGUUUUGUGUUUUCAUGGCGUUAUUCAGAUAAAAAUAACGUAUACUGCUGGGCCCCGUCUUACAAAGAGUUACGAUUUAUCCAAUCAAUCGUAACUCUAUGGAACUCCAUCAGUGUCGUAAUUUUUUCUACAGGAAAUUUGCAAAAUGUCCUUUGUAAACAAAAGAGAACACACCAAAUUGUCAAGAAAUCAAAUAAUUUAUGGAUAUACAUUCAUAUCUAGAAUUUUUUUUUGAACAAAAAUGCAUUUUAUAUGUUGAUUUUGCUGGCUUUCCAUAGUACGACGGGACCCUGGUGAAGAACUAUAGGUAACACAACCUUUGCCUACUACCUUGCGUACGUAGGGAAUGUUUGUAUUUUACACAUUUACUGUAUGUGGAUUCUCAACUGGUUGGUUUCUGUUUAAUUUGCGGGGCGUUCCCAUGCGUGCUGUAAUAUAAAGUCCCUGAAUUUCUCAAGAGGCCGUAUUCUGUCAUCAUGUUCUUCCACGUCAAACAUAAUAAUAAUGAUUGUUUAAUGCUUUAUUAGGAUUUCAGUAGAUAUACUGCAUGCGGUCCAUGGUGAUGACUAAAUGAAUUGAAUAACUGGUUGUUGAAGAAAUGUGCAUAUAGCCUUAAUUUGGAGGCUUUUAAAAUGACAUCGUCUUCUAAAGCUCCGUCGCUUUGCUUCCUUGCACGGUUCUCUCGAAAUCGCAUUAUUUCACACUCCUGUUUAUUCCUUAUAAAACUGCCUUUUCAUAGGCCUAUUCGGGGUUCAGUAUUUGCAGCAUUUAUAAAUCGGAGGGCUGCAGUUUGGGUGGGCAGAAAAAAUUGGAUGAAGAAAAAUAGGGGGCCUAAUAUUCUUUAUACUACAAAAGCUACAUGCACCUGUCCAGAAAUGAAGCUUGGGGUUUGAAUUCCAUGAAUUCCACAUCUUGUUUUUUUUUUCUCGCUCAGAUGCCUCGCUCACUCAUCUAUUAAAUGUUUUGUUUUGUUUGUUUGGAUAUCCUUCAUAAUCUCAUAAGAUUUUUACAAAUCUUGUAGGUUAAAAGGUUCAACAUUUAUUUGGUUACUUAAGAAAGGAAUAUGCUUUGAAUAUUCGUCAUUUCUUAAAGGAAACAGCAUAGCCGGUGGAAGUGGGGGGGGGGGGGGGGCAGGAUAAUUUUAAAAUACGUAUAAAAAGUGUGGGGGAGAAACACGUAUAUUCUAUGGAAAGUUGUGAUCACAUCCAUGGUUGUAGAACUCCCCCUCCUCCAAAAAUUGUGAAAGCUUGCAUUUUUCUUUUGAAAAUUUAUCUAAAUUAAAAUAAACGUUACGCGUCUUUCCAUUUUAUGUGUUGCCUUAGCGGCCGCCAAAAUCUUAAUGCGUAGGAACAAGCCCCCGUGUGUUUUGUAAAUAGUAUAUAAAUAUUUAAAAUGCAAAAGAAUAUUACAUUGUAAAGUUUGCAUGAAAAUGGCUCCAAUACCGUAAUAAUGAUGACAUGUGUCUAAUAAAUUCAUUGCCAUUGUCAUUGCGCUUAUGCCCAUAAAACUAAUAAAACAUACAUUGAAAUUGAAUGGUAAAGAUGAUCAAAAUUAUUUUUUUUCGUGUUUUUAUAAUCUAAAAAAAAAUAAUGAUUUGAAAGUAGAAUCAUGACAAAUGAGAAAUAUGUCCCUCUUCUGUCGGCUAUGCUGUGUACUUAUGUUUCCUUCAUGCUGGGUUGUUUUACAAUCAGGGAAUACCAGUUAAAAAGGCUUUCUGUACAUCAUAAGAAAAGAAAUGUUAUUGUAAUCUCAAAUCUACGAUGGCAAGCUAUGUGGUAUUUUAAUAGCAGACUGCAAAGAAGAAAAAUAUUGAACUACAUAUUCAUUAUUCAAAAUUGAACAUAUAUGGCAUUUUAGGGCCAAAUUUACUGUCAUUUAUUUAUUAUUUUUUUUCAAUUUCGAGCCCGCGCAUGUCUAUAUGCAGCCUUGUGCAUCGUUUCACCAAUUAGAAUUGAUUAUUGAAAUUGUUUAAAUUUCUAAAUUCUUAAAAGCUUCAGACAGUUUUUAUUUUGUCUAUACUUGUGUAGUAAUAUGCAAAACUCUUAGACGGUUCACUUUGCUCACUUCCGCUUAUUUUUUCAGCCGUUUCUCGUUCCACUGUCCAAAGUCACCCCCUGCGAAAAUUGAACCCAUACAAGAAAGGUUUUAAAGAAACUCAAAGCAACAUUUUUGUCAAAUUAGACAGCUGAGUUUACCCUGAUUGUAUAACAGCCGAUAACCAUGAUAAGAGCUUUCAGAACAAUACUUCACUGUUGAAUGAUCCAUGUUAAAUGUCAAACGUCGUCUGUUGUUAAUGAUGGUUUAUAAAAUAGUGGUGUGGAUCCUUGUUAAACAUUGGCGGCGGAAGCCAAAAAAUUUAGGGGGGUCCACCUGAAAUUUGGGAUGGACACAGGUAAAAAAUUGGACAAGCAAAAAAAAAAAUUAUCAACAUAAAUUUUAGGGGGGGGGGUCCGUCCCCUCACCUCAAAUUGAGGAGGGGGACAGGACCCCCUGCCCCCCCCCCCCACUUCCGCCUAUGUUAAACUGUCUUCAUCUCAAAGCAAUGACCUGCCUGUAUAGAACUGGUCAUAGGAACAAGUCAUCAGCAACUUUUCAUGUUUGCUAAAACAAAUGAUUGGUCACGUGAUCGAUUUCAUCCAAUCAUUUGUUUUGGAUCCAUAUCACAAUUUUAUAAACAUAAGUAAAUGAUCGUGUUACACC